CAACUACUCCCUCUGUCCCAAAUUUCUUGUCUUAGAUUUGUCUAGAUACGGAUGUAUCAAGUACUUGAUACAUCCGUAUCUAGACAAAUCUAAGACAAGAAUUUUGGGACGGAGGGAGUAAUUU
rfam:Triticum aestivum genome assembly, contig: Triticum_aestivum_CS42_TGACv1_scaffold_425012_5BS